AUUGAACGCUGGCGGCAGGCCUAACACAUGCAAGUCGAACGGUAACAGGAAGAAGCUUGCUUCUUUGCUGACGAGUGGCGGACGGGUGAGUAAUGUCUGGGAAACUGCCUGAUGGAGGGGGAUAACUACUGGAAACGGUAGCUACUACCGCAUAACGUCGCAAGAACAAAGAGGGGGACAUUCGGGCCUCUUGCCAUCGGAUGUGCCCAGAUGGGAUUAGCUAGUAGGUGGGGUAACGGCUCACCUAGGCGACGAUCCCUAGCUGGUCUGAGAGGAUGACCAGCCACACUGGAACUGAGACACGGUCCAGACUCCUACGGGAGGCAGCAGUGGGGAAUAUUGCACAAUGGGCGCAAGCCUGAUGCAGCCAUGCCGCGUGUAUGAAGAAGGCCUUCGGGUUGUAAAGUACUUUCAGCGGGGAGGAAGGGAGUAAAGUUAAUACCUUGGCUCAUUGACGUUACCCGCAGAAGAAGCACCGGCUAACUCCGUG
rnacentral:rRNA from 1 species